CACGUUAGCGCGCUUUGCUGAUAUGGACACAAAUCGCGCUCCAGAGGACGCGAUUUGUUGCCAUGUCAGCAAAGCGCGCUGAUGUGG
rfam:Gossypium raimondii Chr12_contig_613, whole genome shotgun sequence.